rnacentral:rRNA from 1 species
AUGUUGAGGGGCCGGGAUCAGUUCAAAGCUCAAUUCCCUGCAGGAUGGGGUGAACAACACCAUACUUGUUCAAAAAUGGAACUGGAAUAUUGGACAAUGUUUUCUUUGUGUAUGUGCUUUUGUGGGUGUAUGUGCAACGAAGACAUAUGUUUUUCAUCUAACCUACAGUUUUUCUCGGAUGAUAAUAUUUUAUUAGAAUUGUUAAAAGUUAGGUUUUAUGUGUCAUCGCACCAAGUGCUGGGGUGCGCCAAUGAUUUAUAUUUUUCACAUCAAGUUGAUGGCAUUGAGACUAUGAACCGCAUAAAGUCUUCAAUUUCUUGUCUACACUUCAGAAUUGCCUGGGCAGGAACUCAAGUCUGUUUUGUUAACAUCAUCUAA